rnacentral:sRNA from 1 species
UAUUAUCAAGUGCUGAAAACGAACGAGAAAAAGAUAUGUGAGACCUGUUUUAAUUUUCGUAUUUGAUAAUGUGUGGAUUCUUUUUUUACGUAUGAAGACUAAAAAAAUAAUAUGUAUUUUCUUAGGAGGAAAUAAUCAUGGCAGUAACAGGACAAGUAAAAUGGUUUAACAACGAAAAAGGCUUCGGUUUCAUCGAAGUUCCAGGCGAAAACGACGUAUUCGUACACUUCUCUGCAAUCGAAACUGAAGGUUUCAAAUCUUUAGAAGAAGGCCAAAAAGUUAGCUUCGAAAUCGAAGAAGGUAACCGUGGACCUCAAGCUAAAAACGUUAUCAAACUAUAAUUUUAUAGUUCGUGAUGAGAAAAGGAUGGCUUAUGCCAUCCUUUUUUUG